rnacentral:rRNA from 1 species
UACGUAGGGUGCGAGCGUUGUCCGGAAUUACUGGGCGUAAAGAGCUCGUAGGUGGUUUGUCGCGUUGUUCGUGAAAACUCACAGCUUAACUGUGGGCGUGCGGGCGAUACGGGCAGACUGGAGUACUGCAGGGGAGACUGGAAUUCCUGGUGUAGCGGUGGAAUGCGCAGAUAUCAGGAGGAACACCGGUGGCGAAGGCGGGUCUCUGGGCAGUAACUGACGCUGGAGGCGCGAAAGCUAGGGGAGCAAACGGG